CGAUGGUUGUCGUCAGCUCGUGUCGUGAGAUGUUGGUUAAGUCCCGCAACGAGCGCAACCCCUAUUGUUAGUUGCCAUCAUUCAGUUGGGCACUCUAGCGAGACUGCCGGUAAUAAACCGGAGGAAGGUGGGGAUGACGUCAAAUCAUCAUGCCCCUUAUGACCUGGGCUACACACGUGCUACAAUGGUUGGUACAACGAGUUGCGAGUCGGUGACGGCGAGCUAAUCUCUUAAAGCCAAUCUCAGUUCGGAUUGUAGGCUGCAACUCGCCUACAUGAAGUCGGAAUCGCUAGUAACCGCGGAUCAGCACGCCGCGGUGAAUACGUUCCCGGGCCUU
rnacentral:rRNA from 1 species